AAAGUCGUAACAAGGUUUCCGUAGGUGAACCUGCGGAAGGAUCAUUACAAAUCCCCUAAACGUCCCACGAAAAAAACCUUUUUUUGUGUGAGACCACGUUGAUCUGUUCCCGGUCUUGGAGAAGAAGAAGAAGGAGAUAUGAUGAGUCAGUGGCCGGGUGGGAUGGGAUGCGCACGAGAGUGCUUUCCUCCUCCUCCCUCCCCCCAUUCAUUCAUUGUGUCUUCCUCCUCUUUCUCUCUCUGGGGCUUUUUCAUUUAUCAUGAAUGUGAAUCCCUAUAUGUAUGUCACUUGAACACACACAAGGAACAACUUAUAACAAUGGAUCUCUAGGCUCUU
rnacentral:misc_RNA from 1 species